rnacentral:lncRNA from 1 species
UUUGGGUAUUGGUUUUCAUGAUCAUCAAGCUACCUGUGCUAAUUCCGGGCGAGUUCCGGAAUCACAGUUGUUCAGAGUACAACGUGCUCCACAAACUGAGUAGAUAAGAAGGAAACUAUUUAAGCAACUUCAAACACUUUUUAAAACGUUGACUACGACGUCUAUUCGUGGUAAAGAACCAAGAACGAGACGCAAAGUCAACUAGCAAAACACCGGCAAGAAAAGAAACUGCCUGCCCAUUCAUGCAAGUUACAGUCACAGCGCAGCCAGUUCCAGCCCCAACCGCAGAAUCAAAUUCACGGCCUCACGGCGUUGCCGACCAGAGUUGCGCAGACGCCAACACGUAAUUCAGAAGAAACUCCACCUUUCCCGCGCAGGAACUAGGAAUUGCCUGCAAGCGAAGACGAGUAAAGGAAUUCUAUACUCGGUGGCGUUCUCGUACACCGCAAAUAGAAAAAGAAAUGCUUUUUAUUAGAUAGAAAAAGGAUAAUACCGGAGCGUUCGGGGAACCUGGCGCCUGCCGCCGGCCUAGGAUGGUGGAGGGCGCCGGCGGAUGGAGACGGCCGCGUUGCUCCAUCGAAUACAGCGGCGGCGUGCGCGGGCCGAACACGAGAAAACAUCGCCGCGACGCGGGACGGCGGCAGGAAACGCAUCAUCUCCUGCGGAUAAGCUCG